CCCUUAGAUGUCCUGGGCCGCACGCGAGCUACACUGACAUGUUCAACAAGCCUCCUAGUUCGACAGGAUUUGGGAAAUCUUUGAACGCAUGUCGUGAUAGGGAUAGAUCAUUGCAAUUAUUGAUCUUGAACGAGGAAUUCCUAGUAAACGCGAGUCAUCAGCUCGCAUUGAUUACGUCCCUGCCCUUUGUACACACCGCCCGUCGCACCUACCGAUUGAAUGUUUCGGUGAAGAUUCCGGAUAGGACUUUUUUGAUUUAUUUCAAUUUUGUCUUAAAAGCUAUCUAAACCUCAACAUUUAGAGGAAGGUGAAGUCGUAACA
rnacentral:rRNA from 1 species